AUGCGGCGCUGGCGGGGCGCGGGGCUGGCGGCGCUGGCCGCGGUGCUGCUCGUGGCUGCGGGCAGAGCCCGGGUGCAGCAGGAGCCGUUGGUAGAGACCACCGAGGGCACCCAAAUCACCAUCAACUGCUCACACCCCGAUAUCAGGUCAAAUGAAUACAUCUGGUGGUACCGUCAGCUCCCGGGCCGAGGCCCCGAACUCCUCGGGAACGUUCACAAAGGCUCCAAAGAGCUGCCCGACAAGGCGGCACAGCUGUCGGUGUCACCAGACCGUCGCUGGAGCUCCCUGUGUCUCUCCCGGCCCCGUUUGCAGGACGCGGCCGUGUAUUCCUGUGCCCUGGCAGACACGGCCAGAGGAGCCGGGGCUGCGGCCGGGCACGAACCGCCGCGGCGGGGCCGGGAAGGAACCAGAAGUGGAAAGCAGCUGUUUGGAGUCCCACCUGACAAGUGGCAGAAGCUGCCGAAG